rnacentral:lncRNA from 1 species
UUUAUAGUCGAUUUACAUGAGUUUUUUAAUCUAUUUCCUAUGCUUGUCAUGUCUGCCUUGAUUUGUUUGCAAGAAUCAGCGCAAGUGGAUGGAGAUGACAGUGGCAGUUGGUGGUGGUUGCUGGCAGAGUAGGUGAGCAAAAGACCGAGGGUCAGAAGACCCUAGGUGCGGCUCUUAGGGUUUCUCUGUUUUCUACUAGGG